GUUACUUGUUAGCUUGUGAUAACUUGAUUUCACUACAAAGCAAUCAUUUGCAAAAUACAAUCUUUCAACUCUGUAAUAUCUACAUUUUGUCUACAAUUCGACGUUUCUUCGUUGUUGCUACUACAUGCGCCUAUCUGAUCUUGCUUAUAUACUAAUAAUGCCAAUAAGUUAGCUAAUAAUUCCAUUUUCAAGGUGAAAAUGACUUGCUUUAUGGCUUCAUUAAUGUAUGAGGAGCUCGUAACUCUCCAAGAGUGAUGAUGAAUGUUCAUCUUCUGUUCCCUGUUUAUGCUGUUGUUGUUGUUGUUGGUUAUCGUUUUCUUCUAACCCGAGUUCGCUUUCCAGGUGCUUAAACCAUUUAUCAACUUCAUCUUCUUCAGACUCUUGAAGAGCUCUGUUCUCUGGUUGUUGGAAUGAGUCUGAACCAUCUAUGAAACUCCAAAUGUCAGGAUCUAAAUCAAAAGGCAUCUCCAGCAGCUCUGGUUUGUCUACCUCUUGUAACAUCCCCGUAAACUCGCUAUAAGUUAGAAUGUGCUCAAACAUUUGACUUAUCUGUGCAUCAUCGUCUUUGCUUGAAAUGUUGGAACCAGCAAAAGACAUUGAAGCAUUUGGAGAUGACUCUUGAGAGUUCUCUUCUUCAUUCAAAGAACCUUUUGAACCCGCUUCAUCGGCAUUAAGGUUAGUUUCCGAGCUCAAUCUUUUCUUGAGAUGUGUAUGCCACACAUUCUUGAUCUCAUUGUCUGUUCUUCCAGGCAGCUUAGAAGCAAUCUUCGACCACCUGAAUCCAAAAUGCAGAAAAGCUAUUGUCAAAAUCAAAACUUUGAGCCCACAACAAGACAUUAACAAGAUAACACAUACUUGUUACCAAAGCUCUGGUGAAGUUUGAUGAUGGUGUCUUCUUCCUCUGCACUGAAAUUGCCACGUUUCACAUCAGGUCUGAGGUAAUUAAUCCAUCGCAGACGACAACUCUUGCCACACCUCAACAAUCCUUCAUUGCAUGCAUAGAUAGAAUCAGAACCAGAAGACUAGAAAAGCUAAAGAAAGAGGCUUUUAAAGAUCAUAGACAUACCAGCUUGCUUUGGGAGAGAUCUCCAAUUCUCAUGACCAUUCUUGUGAAUGAAAGAGAUGAGUUUCAAGUCUUCAUCAUGGCUCCAUGGUCCUCUCUUCACUUUGGUUUUGUCACAACAUGGUGCUCUUCCUUUGCCCAUAUUCUCUCUCUCCUCUCUCACAGACACACACUUUUGAGAUUCCCUCUUACCAAAUCCAAUUGCUUUUAUGUGUAUUUAUACAUGAGAAGUGGUGUGUGUGAUCCUGACAUUGAGAAACAUGUUAUAAACCACAGACAUUGACAAAUGUCACAUCAGAUUUGUUGAGGUUAAAAACUUGUCUAUAUUGUGGAUGAGUAUCUGGCAAAAUUCACAUCUUUUUUAUAAUUGUAUAGUUCGCAUUUCU
rnacentral:lncRNA from 1 species